GCUUUAUAUGCUGUUUGGAUUUGACUAGAUUAAUAGUUUAAAAGUUAAGUCUGGAUUAGUUUAUUUUGUUGGGGCGACAAAGAUGUAAUUUUGAGUAACUGUUGUUUAGUAGAAACAAGAAUGAUUGAAUUAUUUAUAAAAGAUCCUUAUUAAAGAUUAGAAGAAUAAGUU
rnacentral:rRNA from 1 species